rnacentral:rRNA from 1 species
GAUGAACGCUGGCGGCGUGCCUAAUACAUGCAAGUCGAGCGAACGGACGAGAAGCUUGCUUCUCUGAUGUUAGCGGCGGACGGGUGAGUAACACGUGGAUAACCUACCUAUAAGACUGGGAUAACUUCGGGAAACCGGAGCUAAUACCGGAUAAUAUUUUGAACCGCAUGGUUCAAAAGUGAAAGACGGUCUUGCUGUCACUUAUAGAUGGAUCCGCGCUGCAUUAGCUAGUUGGUAAGGUAACGGCUUACCAAGGCAACGAUGCAUAGCCGACCUGAGAGGGUGAUCGGCCAGACUGGAACUGAGACAGAGUCCAGACUCCGACAGGAGGAAGCAGUAGGGAAUCUUCCGCAAGGGACGAGAGCCGGACGGAGCAACGCCGCGUGAAUGAUGAAGGUCUUCGGAUCGUAGAACUCUGUUAUUAGGGAAGAACAUAUGUGUAAGUAACUGUGAACAUCUUGACGGUACCUAAUCAGAAAGCCACGGCUAACUACGUG